rnacentral:rRNA from 1 species
AACGAACGCUGGCGGCAUGCCUAACACAUGCAAGUCGAACGAGACCUUCGGGUCUAGUUGCGCACGGGUGCGUAACGCGUGGGAACCUUCCCGUAUGUUCGGAAUAACUCUCCGCAGGGGGUGCUAAUACCGGAUAAUUUCUUCUGACCAAAGAUUUAUCGCCUUGGGAUGGGCCCGCGUUGGAUGCGCUAUUUGGUAGGGUAAAAGCCUACCAAGGCUAAGAUCCCUAGCUGGUCUGAGAGGAUGGUCAGACACACUGGGACUGUGACACGGCGCAGAUUCUUGGGGGAGGAAGAAGUGGUGAAUAUUGGACGACGGGCGAGAGACUGAUGCAUUAAUGCCGCGUGAGUGAUGAAGGCGUUAGGGUUGUAAAGCUCUUUUACACGCGAUGAUAAUGACAGUACCGAGAGAAUAAGCUCCGGCUAACUCCGUG